AUUGAACGCUGGCGGCAGGCCUAACACAUGCAAGUCGAGCGAGCGGCGGACGGGUGAGUAAUGUAUGGGGACUGCCCGAUAGAGGGGGAUAACUACUGGAAACGGUAGCUAAUACCGCAUACUAUCGGAUAACCCAUAUGGGAUUAGCUAGUAGGUGAGGUAAUGGAUAACCUAGGCGACGAUCCCUAGAUGGGCUGAGAGGCUGAUCAGCCACACGGUGACGGAGACACGGCCCAGACUCCUACGGAGGCAGCAGUGGGGAAUAUUGCACAAUGGGCGCAAGCCUGAUGCAGCAAUGCCGCGUGGAUGAAGAAGGCCCUAGGGUUGUAAAGUACUUUCAGUCGGGAGGCGUUAACGACAGAAGAAGCACCGGCUAACUCCGUGCCAGCAGCCGCGGUAAUAC
rnacentral:rRNA from 1 species